rnacentral:rRNA from 1 species
UGUCUCAGUACAAGCCGAAUUAAGGUGAAACCGCGAAAGGCUCAUUAAAUCAGUUAUGGUUCCUUAGAUCGUACCACACUUACUUGGAUAACUGUGGUAAUUCUAGAGCUAAUACAUGCAAACAGAGCUCCGACCGGAGACGGAAGGAGCGCUUUUAUUAGAUCAAAACCAAUCGGUGGCGGGUUCGCUCGUCAUCGUACAACUUGGUGACUCUGAAUAACUUUAAGCUGAUCGCACGGUCUCGCACCGGCGACGCAUCUUUCAAAUGUCUGCCUUAUCAACUGUCGAUGGUAGGUUCUGCGCCUACCAUGGUUGUAACGGGUAACGGGGAAUCAGGGUUCGAUUCCGGAGAGGGAGCCUGAGAAACGGCUACCACAUCCAAGGAAGGCAGCAGGCGCGCAAAUUACCCACUCCCGGCACGGGGAGGUAGUGACGAAAAAUAACGAUACGGGACUCAUCCGAGGCCCCGUAAUCGGAAUGAGUACACUCUAAACCCUUUAACGAGGAUCAAUUGGAGGGCAAGUCUGGUGCCAGCAGCCGCGGUAAUUCCAGCUCCAAUAGCGUAUAUUAAAGUUGUUGCGGUUAAAAAGCUCGUAGUCGAAUCUGUGUCCCGCGCCGCCGGUUCAUCGUCCGCGGUGUUAACUGGCGUGUCGCGGAACGUCCUGCCGGUGGGCUAAACCCUUUACGGGAGGCCCAACUCAAUCCCGCCGCGGUGCUCUUCACUGAGUGUCGAGGUGGGCCGGCACGUUUACUUUGAACAAAUUAGAGUGCUUAAAGCAGGCUAAAACUUCGCCUGAAUACUGUGUGCAUGGAAUAAUGGAAUAGGACCUCGGUUCUAUUUUGUUGGUUUUCGGAACCCCGAGGUAAUGAUUAAUAGGAACGGAUGGGGGCAUUCGUAUUGCGA